rnacentral:rRNA from 1 species
UACGUACUGUGCGAACGUUAUUCGGAAUCACUGGGCUUAAAGGGUGCGUAGGCGGCCAAUUAAGUAGGGUGUGAAAGGCUUCGGCUCAACCGGAGCAUUGCGCUCUAGACUGCUUGGCUCGAGUGAGAUAGGGGUGUGCGGAACUUCCAGUGGAGCGGUGAAAUGUGUUGAUAUUGGAAGGAACGCCGGUGGCGAAAGCGGCACACUGGGUCUUAACUGACGCUGAGGCACGAAAGCCAGGGGAGCGAACAGG